UACGUAGGGAGCGAGCGUUGUCCGGAUUCAUUGGGCGUAAAGAGCUCGUAGGCGGUUCAGUAAGUCGGGUGUGAAAACUUGGGGCUUAACCCUGAGCUUGCGGUCGAUACGGGCAUGACUGGAGUUCGGCAGGGGGAGACUGGAAUUCCUGUGUAGCGGUGAAAUGCGCAGAUAUCAGGAGGAACACCGGUGGCGAAAGCGGCUCACUGGACCAUAACUGACGCUGAUGCACGAAAGCUAGGGGAGCAAACAGG
rnacentral:rRNA from 1 species